GAUGAUCGUUUGCCUGACGGAACGUAUAGAACCAAAUUAUAUAGGAAGAGAGACAGAGAAAAGUAUCGAAACAACAACUAAAAAAUAAAUGAGUAAUGCAAAACUGGUUAAACAACUAUUCAGUAUAUAAUUUGAUUAUAAAGUGGGAAAUUAUUUUCAAACCGUUUAGUUUGUUUUCUACGAUGAAGACUAAUAGUGUUGGGGUGUUGGCGGCUCUGAUCUUGGCUUUGAUCAGUUUGGUUGAGUCCCGUCAUCCUUUUGACUUUUUUGACGAAAGCUUCGAAGAUUUUGACGAGUGCCUAAGAACAAAUAAUAUUUCAGACGAAGAAUACUUAAACUUUGAGAGUUUUGAAAACCUAAAAAAUGUCUUCAACGAAAAUGUCGAUCUUAAGUUUAAAUGUAAUAUUAAGUGUCAAUUGGAAAAACAGCCCAAGAAAUGGCUCGAUAAUGAGGGCAAAAUGGAUCUGCAAUUAAUGAAUGCCACUGAAGAAGCUUCUGUUUCAAUUCUAAAAUGCAUGGAAAGUGCUCCGGAAGAAUCCUGUGCUUAUGCCUUUAAAUUAAUCCUUUGUGCCGCGCUAGCCAAUCAUCCGAUUGAUAAUUUCGAAGAUAUAGAGACCGCAGAACUGGCCCUAGGAUGGGAUGAGGUGGAACUGCAACAAAAAGAUGACGAAGAGGAUGGAUAUGAUGUUAUCGAUUAUGAAAGCACCACCGUGUCAUCGUAGCCAAUAAAUUUUAAUUAUCGAUGCAACUAAAAAAAAACACAUCGAAAUACAGUAAUUAAUAAGCUCGGUGCAUUUGUGGGCUGAUUUGCAUAAUUAAAUGAAAUUGCAAGAGGCGAACCGCCGGGGCGCUUGAAUCAAAUCAAACUGAUUCGCCUGGAAUCGAAUUAAUUGCAUUGGCCGACCCAGCAGUUUUUCC
rnacentral:misc_RNA from 1 species